AGAGCGAAUGGUGGAUGCCUUGACUGGUAAAGGCGAUGAAGGACGUACUAGACUGCGAUAAGCUACGGGGAGCUGUCAAGAAGCUUUGAUCCGUAGAUUUCCGAAUGGGGCAACCCAAUGUAUAGAGAUAUACAUUACCUAUAUAGGAGCGAACGAGGGGAAUUGAAACAUCUUAGUACCCUCAGGAAAAGAAAUCAAUAGAGAUUGCGUCAGUAGCGGCGAGCGAAAGCGCAAGAGGGCAAACCCAGUGCUUGCACUGGGGGUUGUAGGACUGCAAUGUGCAAGAGGUGAGUUUAGCAGAACAUUCUGGAAAGUAUAGCCAUAGAGGGUGAUAGUCCCGUAUGCGAAAAACAAACCUUAGCUAGCAGUAUCCUGAGUAGGGCGGGACACGAGAAAUCCUGUCUGAAGCCGGGUCGACCACGAUCCAACCCUAAAUACUAAUACCAGAUCGAUAGUGCACAAGUACCGUGAGGGAAAGGUGAAAAGAACUGAGGUGAUCAGAGUGAAAUAGAACCUGAAACCAUUUGCUUACAAUCAUUCAGAGCACUAUGUAGCAAUACAGUGUGAUGGACUGCCUUUUGCAUAAUGAGCCUGCGAGUUGUGGUGUCUGGCAAGGUUAAGCAAACGCGAAGCCGUAGCGAAAGCGAGUCUGAAUAGGGCGCUUAGUCAGAUGCUGCAGACCCGAAACGAAGUGAUCUAUCCAUGAGCAAGUUGAAGCUAGUGUAAGAACUAGUGGAGGACUGAACCCAUAGGCGUUGAAAAGCCCCGGGAUGACUUGUGGAUAGGGGUGAAAGGCCAAUCAAACUUCGUGAUAGCUGGUUCUCUCCGAAAUAUAUUUAGGUAUAGCGUUGUGUCGUAAUAUAAGGGGGUAGAGCACUGAAUGGGCUAGGGCAUACACCAAUGUACCAAACCCUAUCAAACUCCGAAUACCUUAUAUGUAAUCACAGCAGUCAGGCGGCGAGUGAUAAAAUCCGUCGUCAAGAGGGAAACAACCCAGACUACCAGCUAAGGUCCCUAAAUCUUACUUAAGUGGAAAACGAUGUGAAGUUACUUAAACAACCAGGAGGUUGGCUUAGAAGCAGCCAUCCUUUAAAGAAAGCGUAAUAGCUCACUGGUCUAGUGAUUUUGCGCGGAAAAUAUAACGGGGCUAAAGUAAGUACCGAAGCUGUAGACUUGACUUUGUCAAGUGGUAGGAGAGCGUUCUAUUUGCGUCGAAGGUAUACCGGUAAGGAGUGCUGGAGCGAAUAGAAGUGAGCAUGCAGGCAUGAGUAGCGAUAAUUAAUGUGAGAAUCAUUAACGCCGUAAACCCAAGGUUUCCUACGCGAUGCUCGUCAUCGUAGGGUUAGUCGGGUCCUAAGUCGAGUCCGAAAGGGGUAGACGAUGGCAAAUUGGUUAAUAUUCCAAUACCAACAUUAGUGUGCGAUGGAAGGACGCUUAGGGCUAAGGGGGCUAGCGGAUGGAAGUGCUAGUCUAAGGUCGUAGGUGCUUAUACAGGCAAAUCCGUAUAAGAAUACACCGAGAACUGAAAGGCUUUUUGAAGUCUUCGGAUGGAUAGAAGAACCCCUGAUGCCGUCGAGCCAAGAAAAGUUUCUAAGUUUAGCUAAUGUUGCCCGUACCGUAAACCGACACAGGUGGGUGGGAUGAGUAUUCUAAGGCGCGUGGAAGAACUCUCUUUAAGGAACUCUGCAAAAUAGCACCGUAUCUUCGGUAUAAGGUGUGGUUCGCUUCGUAUUAGGAUUUACUCCGAAAGCGAAGAAACUUACAACAAAGAGUCCCUCCCGACUGUUUACCAAAAACACAGCACUCUGCUAACUCGUAAGAGGAUGUAUAGGGUGUGACGCCUGCCCGGUGCUCGAAGGUUAAUUGAUGGGGUUAGCAUUAGCGAAGCUCUUGAUCGAAGCCCGAGUAAACGGCGGCCGUAACUAUAACGGUCCUAAGGUAGCGAAAUUCCUUGUCGGUUAAAUACCGACCUGCAUGAAUGGCGUAACGAGAUGGGAGCUGUCUCAAAGAGGGAUCCAGUGAAAUUGUAGUGGAGGUGAAAAUUCCUCCUACCCGCGGCAAGACGGAAAGACCCCGUGGACCUUUACUACAGCUUGACACUGCUACUUGGAUAAGAAUGUGCAGGAUAGGUGGGAGGCUUUGAGUAUAUGACGCCAGUUGUAUAUGAGCCAUUGUUGAGAUACCACUCUUUCUUAUUUGGGUAGCUAACCAGCUUGAGUUAUCCUCAAGUGGGACAAUGUCUGGUGGGUAGUUUGACUGGGGCGGUCGCCUCCCAAAUAAUAACGGAGGCUUACAAAGGUUGGCUCAGAACGGUUGGAAAUCGUUCGUAGAGUAUAAAGGUAUAAGCCAGCUUAACUGCAAGACAUACAAGUCAAGCAGAGACGAAAGUCGGUCUUAGUGAUCCGGUGGUUCUGUGUGGAAGGGCCAUCGCUCAAAGGAUAAAAGGUACCCCGGGGAUAACAGGCUGAUCUCCCCCAAGAGCUCACAUCGACGGGGAGGUUUGGCACCUCGAUGUCGGCUCAUCGCAUCCUGGGGCUGGAGCAGGUCCCAAGGGUAUGGCUGUUCGCCAUUUAAAGCGGUACGCGAGCUGGGUUCAGAACGUCGUGAGACAGUUCGGUCCCUAUCUGCCGUGGGCGUAAGAAGAUUGAAGAGAUUUGACCCUAGUACGAGAGGACCGGGUUGAACAAACCACUGGUGUAGCUGUUGUUCUGCCAAGAGCAUCGCAGCGUAGCUAAGUUUGGAAAGGAUAAACGCUGAAAGCAUCUAAGCGUGAAGCCAACUCUAAGAUGAAUCUUCUCUAAGCUCUCUAGAAGACUACUAGUUUGAUAGGCUGGGUGUGUAAUGGAUGAAAGUCCUUUAGCUGACCAGUACUAAUAGAGCGUUUGGCUUAUCU
rnacentral:rRNA from 3 species